UACGAAGGGGGCUAGCGUUGUUCGGAAUUACUGGGCGUAAAGCGCACGUAGGCGGCUUUUUAAGUCAGGGGUGAAAUCCUGGAGCUCAACUCCAGAACUGCCUUUGAUACUGAGAAGCUUGAGUCCGGGAGAGGUGAGUGGAACUGCGAGUGUAGAGGUGAAAUUCGUAGAUAUUCGCAAGAACACCAGUGGCGAAGGCGGCUCACUGGCCCGGUACUGACGCUGAGGUGCGAAAGCGUGGGGAGCAAACAGG
rnacentral:rRNA from 1 species